AGAGUUUGAUCCUGGCUCAGAACGAACGCUGGCGGCAGGCUUAACACAUGCAAGUCGAGCGCCUCGCAAGAGGAGCGGCAGACGGGUGAGUAACGCGUGGGAAUCUACCCAUCUCUACGGAACAACUCCGGGAAACUGGAGCUAAUACCGUAUACGUCCUUCGGGAGAAAGAUUUAUCGGAGAUGGAUGAGCCCGCGUUGGGAUUAGCUAGUUGGUGGGGUAAUGGCCUACCAAGGCGACGAUCCAUAGCUGGUUCUGAGAAGAUUGAUUCAGCCACACUGGGACUGAGACACGGGCCCAGACUCCUACGGGAGGCAGCAGUGGGGAAUAUUGGACAAUGGGCGCAAGCCUGAUCCAGCCAUGCCGCGUGAGUGAUGAAGGCCCUAGGGUUGUAAGGCUCUUUCAACGGUGAAGAUAAUGACGGUAACCGUAGAAGAAG
rnacentral:rRNA from 1 species